rnacentral:rRNA from 1 species
AAGGGCCGUCCGAGACUAGGACGUAGAUAGGCAGGGUGUGGAAGCGUAGCGAUACGUGCAGCUAACCUGUACUAAUGACCCGUGCGGCUUAACCAUACAACACCCAAGAAGUGU